CAGUUUGGAGGGGCGUAGAAAGGAGGCCAUAUUGUACAGUUAAAUUGAAAGAACGAAAAUAAUUAUAUCAUCGUAUAGUUGUGCCUGUUUCGUUCCGUAUUUUUACUGUACACGUUCGCAACGGUAUCGUUUGAUUAUCGCAAUUAAAGUAAUAGUGUACAGGGACCGAUUUCAGGUUCCUACAUUUUUUGUAAAUAACUGCAAGUCGUAGUAGUGUAUCCUGAUAUCUAGGUACCGUCCGUCAGUCUACUAAAGGGGUUUAUUGCUCCGGACGAGAUGGGCACUCGGGAUGAUGAAUACGAUUAUUUAUUUAAAGUUGUUCUUAUUGGUGACUCAGGAGUAGGAAAAAGUAAUCUGUUAUCAAGAUUUACGAGAAAUGAAUUCAACUUAGAAUCAAAAUCGACUAUAGGAGUUGAAUUUGCUACACGUAGUAUACAAGUAGAUGGAAAAACUAUUAAAGCUCAGAUUUGGGACACAGCUGGACAAGAACGUUACCGUGCUAUUACAUCGGCGUACUAUCGUGGUGCGGUUGGAGCUCUGUUGGUAUAUGAUAUCGCAAAGCAUCUAACAUAUGAAAAUGUGGAAAGAUGGUUGCGGGAAUUACGGGACCAUGCUGACCAAAACAUUGUCAUUAUGUUGGUGGGAAACAAAUCUGACUUAAGGCAUCUACGUGCAGUUCCAACCGAUGAAGCAAAAGCAUUUGCAGAGAGAAAUGGCCUCUCUUUCAUUGAAACUUCUGCUUUAGACUCUACCAAUGUUGAGACAGCAUUUCAAAAUAUAUUAACAGAAAUCUACAGAAUCGUAUCGCAGAAACAGAUACGCGAUCCACCUGAAGGUGAUACAAUCCGGCCACAGAACGUAGAACCUAUCGACGUGAAACCAACAAUGAAUUCAGAGGGAAUGCGUAAGCCUUGCUGCCAGUGACUCACCUUGCUGCUUAAAAUUGUCAAGAAAUCAUCAUCUAUCGAAGACAAAGAUAAUGGUCUGUUGAGUUGGCCAAAAUACUUUCCAAACAAUAGAAGUAUGUAACACAGCAAAUGCUCUAUAGAGGCAUAAAGAUGGACAUACAAAGAGGCACAGGCGAAAAGAAAAGUGGUCGAUGGUAAACGUAACAGGUGCAUACAGUACAAGAGUCAAGACUAUUUACGGUUAUAAGUAUACCCGACUAAGUUUCCCAAAUAAUCCGGUGUUCUGGAAAGGAAUAGAUUUCUACUCUAUUGCUUGGAGACAAAUAGUAGACAAAAGUGUGUUGUUGCGAGCCGUACUUAAAAGUAUUCUUUUACAUCCUUGUUCACGGUCGCUUGGCUUCGUUAAAACACCCUAACCAGACGUCGCUUUCUCUGUAUCAGGAGAUGAGCAAAUACAUAUGCGUUCUCUUACCGGGAACACUAGGGAAACAUUAUACUUCUCAAGUUCCUUCGGAUUAUUUGGGAAAAUGUAUUGUAACUUCGCCGCUAGAAAAAGAAAAGAAAAAGAUCGAGGAGUCUAGCGACACUUAUACACCAUAGCAGAUACAUACGAAUAAAUCAUAACACGAUCGUACAACCUAAAAUACAUCAUCAGAAAUAUUUACGAAGGGCGAAAGUAUGUACGCACUUAUUCUGUCUUCGAAAUUCAUCUCUCCGUCUCUUUCUGUCUCUAUCUAUUGCUCCCUCCUCCCUCUGUUCCAAAUUUUUCUUUGUCUCUCUGAUACGUUACAAUAUGUCAAUGUUGUAUUACUGCUUCUUUGUAAUACAUGUGUACUUCUACUCAACACGUAGUGAGCGAUCGUGAAUAUAUGAAUGAUUUAUAAUAUUAUAUAAAUAAGAUUCGUCUGAAAUAUUUGGUUAAAACUUGGAGGUAUAGUCUGCGAAUUGCAAAGACGAUGGAAAUUUUUAUAGUUGUAUUGGUCUCCAUAAUGUUGUGUUGAUAAAAUGUAUAAAAUAUUUGCAAUGUUAUUGUUACAGAUUAUUUGUCCCUCCACGAGAAAGCUACUUGAAGCAUCCUUGAAUAAAGAGAGCAAAGGAUAAUUUAUGGAAGCCAUAAUUUUUGUCAAAAUUAAAAUCUUAAAGAUUGAACAUUAAUAUUAUAAAUUAUUGAAGAGAAAUGAGAACGGGGAAAGAAGCAAUAGUUAAGAGGGAAAUUUGUAUACAGUUUUAAAAAAAAUGUUUAAAAUAGAGGGAAGUAUCUAUCAUUGUAUAUUAAAUGCAAAUCUCUUUCAUCCUUACAAUUAGUGGUGCAUAUUCUCAAAAUUUAACCAAAUAUUUUAGACACAAUCUACACAGUAACACAUGAAGUCUUGCGGUUAAAUAUACAGGUGCACAACAUAGAAGAAACAAAAAGAACGAUAAUAGCAAAAAACUGCUUACUAUCGAACAUACAAGAAAGCAAUGAUGAACAAAGCUGAAUCGGAUUUAACACUUUAUUGUUGCUCACUCUCUGCUUUCGAAUUUGCACCGUAGCGUUGACCUUGAAGUACGAUAAGGAGCAUGUCCACAAAAAAAGGCUUAUAAAAGUACUUUAUUUUUUUCUCUUCCGGAAAGAGAAGAAAAAAAAGAAAGAAAACAAACUGAAAGAGAACAUGAGAAUCAUCGUAGAUACACAAAUUGAAACUAUGCGUAAGUGAUGAGAAAGUACGCGAGAAACAGUCGUGAUAUUGUAUCGUACUUUCUAGCGUCUAAUAAGUAUUGCUUUAAUGUGUGUAGCCGCAAUGUAAUCUGUUAUCAUUACGAGUCCUCGUUGUAUCUUGAUGAAUAAAUAGAGAGUGAGUAAAACGUUGAAAUAUUAAGAUAUCUAAACCUCGUUCCGUUGUGCGAGGCCUUCAAUGGUUCGUGUAAUAAAAUAUCAUCGAGCCAAUUGUCCAGAGACAUGGAAAACAGUCUGUUCAAGAUACGGGGGAAUAUACUUAAUAACGAAUUUUACAAUACUUUUUAUGAUACUGCCAUUCAUGAUUUUUAUAGUGCUUUAUGAAACAGGUAAACCUCGUCGAUUUCAGCAACCUUCACAUGUUAUUAAGGUUACAAGCUCUUGAAUAAUUUUGCCUAUAUCGCUGUUCAAGUUACAGUCACCUAACAAAAAUUCGUUAUACAAUUUUAUUUAGUAAUGUACAAAUUCGUAAGAACUUUAGAAUACUUAAAAUGUACACCAUUAUCAAAAUCUGUUUACGAUAGCUGGCAGGCAGAAUUAUUCACAAAAUUGACCUUCAAACACGUAUCAAGGUCACUGAAAUCGACGAGGUUCACAUUCUCCGAUUAAAGGUUGUAUUCAUUUUUAUAUAAAAAUUAAACAUAAUGAGAGAACAUUGUUUUAUUUCGUUACUUAUAUAAAUGUUUGUAAAAAAAAUCACAUAUAACGGUUACGUUCUUUUAUUUUGUGGAGUUCAACCUGAAUCAAUUAUUUUUAGUUACGUCACGUAACGGUAAUUUUAAACGUGAUCGAAAUACUAUUUUAAAAAUAGCACGAAUGUCAUUUAAAAUAUUCGUCUUCUUCGAUGAUAAAAGGAAUUUCAUAUUACUUUUAACUAUAAUGUUGUAAAAAAACUAUAGUCAAAUGUUUAUACUAUUUUAACACAAUUAAUGCAAGAAGUAGAAUAAUCACUUCCAGUAUGUUCCCUCGUAAAAACAAUCAGCUUACAAUUCUUUUUAAAAUAAUGAUAAUAAAAAAUACCAUUUUCAUGUCGACUUGCGAUAAAGUAACGACGAAAUGGAAAACGUGUUUUCCCUCCUGGUAUAUACUUCUUUAUUUUAUUUUGUACCCUUAGGUUACAAAACACGGCCCCUAUGGCACUUUGUGGUGUGAGUUGCCGUUAUGUUGAGCGAGAAUGAAUCUGUACGAACGGGAUUUAGAAUGAUAAAUUAGACAUUAUUGAACUCAGUUUAUUCUCUGUUGAUUCGAUAUAUAAAAAAUGGGGUUGCCGAGUCCACAGAAUAACGCGAGAUUUUAUUAAUCAAUGCUUUGUACUUUAUAAUUUUAUUAAUAAAAUCACUUUUGCUUUGAACACGUA
rnacentral:misc_RNA from 1 species